rnacentral:sRNA from 1 species
AUCUGAGUGUCCAAAGAAAGCGCCUCCGGGUAGGCCACGCCCACACUCUUCCAGAUAGGCCACGCCUAUACACGGAAGCGAGCAGGAGGCGAGGCCUCAGAAGGAAGGGAGCGAAUUGGAGCUAUGUCACCUGACCGGGUCUUGAAGCUCGUACGCGCCAUUUUCGUUACUGGUACUAAUGCUGUGCUCUGAACAGUAUGUCAAAGCUCCAAUCGGACUGUCAAUGCUCACAGACCUCACCAGGAACCAACACAAGGCCUCAUGUGGUGCACUACCUCCAGCCUUGUCGUAAGAGCCUGAAAUUAAGCAUUUCACCUGAUAAAGGACACUGACACUACACCUAGUGUCCAUCCCCGAAGAACAGAGAACUGGCCAAUGAAGCCUGAAGCUGAGUAAGGAAGAGUAUUACUGCGGAGUAAAAGUAUCAAAGUGGAGCAGGUGGAGCACACCUGUGAUCCCACCACUUGGGAGGAUCAGGAGUGCAACGUCAUGCUUAACUACACAGAAAGUUCAAGACCAUCCAGAGCUACAUGAGACUAUCUAAAAAAUGCCAAAACCAAAAGUAAACAAAAAACAGUAGCAAUAGAAAUAAAUAUGCUGUCUAGUUGUAUUAAUUAAUUUAUCAAAGGCUAUUCUGGUGAUCAUGGACCCAACCACACAUACAUACAUUGUUUGUUUUUUAAAGAAAUUGUUAUGUAAGAUUUCCUACAGUACAAGGGAAUACUGUGUUCAGCAGAACAUUCCUCUUUGACAUGUUUAUGACAGAAAGAUCCAGAAUCAUCUGUCCACAUAAUGUCCAAUAGCUACUGUUUUCCUUUAUAAACAGAAGGGGGUGGAGGGUUAGUUUAUGGAAUCCAGAAAUUUUUUUUCUUGGCAUAAUAGAUGAAAAGUCUCCAACAAAAAGCUGGGGACUCUGGGCUGAAGACCCACACCCUUGCCUGGGCCCUAGUGGCUGGAAAAGCCUGAGCCUGUCAGCCUUACUCCAGAACUUUCUUCUGGGCAACAUCUGGGGUGAAUUAAGUUUCUGUUCAGUCCCAGAGCCGGCUACAGAUGUAGAGGUGUGAGCGUGCUUCCCAAGAGCUGUAGAUUACAUGGUCAUGCUAUGGACCACUUUUAUUAGAAGUUCAAGCACCACAUUUCCAGAGCUAUGAAGGAUGACAGCGAAGAAGAAAGCCUUUAGAGCUUAAGUUACAACCACAUCUAAUGAGCACAGAGGUGUUCCUCGCUUACAGGGGUAUUGCUUUUCAACUCCUGUAGCUUGAACGAAGCCAGCGAUCAUAACAGUAAAUAUGGGUUGCGAAGGUAUCCCAGGAGGUAUCAUUAGUUACAAAGCACACCCUUUUCUAAUUUGUACACUUCCCAUGUUUCAGGGUUUCCCAGUACUGCUGAAGCCUCCAGAAUUUCAUGUUUCCCUCAGCAGGCUACAAUAACCCUUAGUCUGAAUGACAUGUAUUAUUUCCUCAGCAAACAUAUGAUGUGGGAAGCUUUAGUAAAAGAUUUAUUAU